UACGGGGGGGGCAAGCGUUGUUCGGAAUUACUGGGCGUAAAGGGCGCGUAGGCGGCUAGAUGUGUCAAAGGUGAAAUCCCUCGGCUCAACUGAGGAACUGCCUUUGAAACUGUCUGGCUUGAGGCCGGGAGAGGGUAGCGGAAUUCCCAGUGUAGCGGUGAAAUGCGUAGAUAUUGGGAGGAACACCAGUGGCGAAGGCGGCUACCUGGACCGGUUCUGACGCUGAGGCGCGAAAGCGUGGGUAGCAAACAGG
rnacentral:rRNA from 1 species